rnacentral:rRNA from 1 species
UACGGAGGGUGCAAGCGUUGUCCGGAUUUAUUGGGUUUCAAGGGUGCGUAGGCGGCCCGUUAAGUCCGUGGUGAAAGCCUCCAGCUCAACUGGAGAACUGCCAUUGAUACUGACGGGCUUGAGUACAGACGAGGUUGGCGGAAUUGAUUGUGUAGCGGUGAAAUGCAUAGAUACAAUCAAGAACUCCGAUUGCGUAGGCAGCUAACUAGGCUGUAACUGACGCUGAGGCACGAAAGCGUGGGGAGCGAACAGG